rnacentral:rRNA from 1 species
GACGAACGCUGACGGCGUGCUUAACACAUGCAAGUCGAACGGUGAAGCGCCUUCCUUUUUGGUGGGUGUGGAUGAGUGGCGAACGGGUGAGUAACACGUGAGUAACCUGCCCCCUUCUUCUGGAUAACCGCAUGAAAGUGUGGCUAAUACGGGAUAUUCUGGGUCUGUCGCAUGAUGGGUCUGGGAAAGAUAUUGUUUCGGUGGGGGAUGGGCUCGCGGCCUAUCAGCUUGUUGGUGGGGUGAUGGCCUACCAAGGCGGUGACGGGUAGCCGGCCUGAGAGGGUGGACGGUCACACUGGGACUGAGACACGGCCCAGACUCCUACGGGAGGCAGCAGUGGGGAAUAUUGCACAAUGGGCGCAAGCCUGAUGCAGCGACGCCGCGUGAGGGAUGGAGGCCUUCGGGUUGUGAACCUCUUUCGCCAGUGAAGCAGGCCUGACUCGUUUGUGGGUGGGUUGACGGUAGCUGGAUAAGAAGCGCCGGCUAACUACGUG